AUGACCAUAGCAUCCAAUGGAGACAUUGUGCUCACCCAGGCUCCAGCGUCCGUAGCUGCUUCCCAGGGGCAGAAGGUCACCAUCACCUGCACAGCCAGCUCCAGCAUAAGCAGCAGUUACUUGCACUGGUAUCAACAAAAGCCGGGAGCCUCUCCAAAGCUCCUGAUUUAUGGAACAUCCAACCUGGCCUCAGGAGUCCCAGCUCGCUUCAGUGGAAGUGGCUCUGGCACCUCUUACUCCCUCUCAAUCUCCAGUGUGGAGGCUGAAGAUGCUGCAACCUAUUACUGUCAGCAGGGGUACAAUUUUCCAUUCACACAGAGAUACAGACCAUAA